CUUCUCUGUCAAAACAAACCUCUUUAUCAGAAGAUUAUAUUAUUUUAUCAACUAUUUUCAUUUUUUUAUCGCAUUUUUUCCUCAAAAAUACUUAACUUUUUAUCUUUGUAGCAAUUCUUUAUGAAGCAUAUUUUCAUAAAAAUGCUACACCCUCUAUCAAUACAAAUCAAUUUAUUGCUAAAUAACCGAAGAAAAUCCAACAAAUGGCUAAACCCACACAACCAAUUGUAAAUCUUCGGCAAAUCGAAUUCGAUGAUAUUCGUAAUCGUGAGCCUCCAUUAGUUAUUUCAAUCGAACCCAGAAAAAAUAAGCCCAAACGAUAGAUCAGGGCUUACGGAGAAGAAAUAUUUUUUAAACGUUUAUGGAAAAGCUGCCGCGGACCCUCUGAAAUCUUACGCGGACCCCCAGAGGUCCUCGAACCACAAGUUGAGAACCGAUGGUCUAGAUGAAAACAUCAGAAAGUCGUCAUGAAAAAGUCUUUUUGACUUCUAUGAGGUGAAAAGAUCGAUCCCCAAAUUUGCCGACCCUUAAAUCUGCCGCCCUAGGCUCCAGCCUACUCAGCCUUCUGGUAAAUCCGCCUCUUAUUAUUAUAAAUUUAUUAUUAUAAAUAUGUAGUUACCAUUAAUUUUGUUUUAGCUAAACUAAAAGCCCGGAUUUAUUCCAUUAUAAUAACACUUUUCAACAAAAAAUGUAUUUAAAGUUUUAAUGUCAUUAUUAAAUUAUAUUUUUGUUUUAGCUAAACUAAAAGCCCGGAUUUAUUAAAAAAAAAAAAAAAAAAAAAAAUAUUGAAAUAUUGUUUAACAACCAUUUUGUAUUUUUUCUUUAAUUUGAAUUUUAAAAUUCAUGAAUUGUAGCAUAUCAUUCUGGCAUGUCUUUAUUUUUAUUUUCAUUUAUUUUUAUCUAAUUAUAAAUAUUAAUUAAUUUGUACUUCUUUUUUUUUAAAUUUGCUUUAUAAAAAUAAUAAUUCUCUCUCAAAUUGAAAUAACUUUGAAAUAACCGGCAGACGGCUUAUAAGCCAUGCUUGUAUAUCUUUUAUUUAAUUAUAAGUUUGUAUCUUUUCUUUGAAAAAAUAAAGAUUAAUAAUAAUAAUAAUAAUAAAUAAUAAAUCCGCCUCUGCCCGUGGUAGGUUCUACUCAGUCCUCGUACUCUUUGUUUAUUCGGAAUUUCGCUCAUCUGUCAGUACCAAAAGAACAAAAGAAAAUAGAAAAAAAUAUCUCCUAAACUGGGUGAAGAUCAAAACAAACCAAAUUUUUCAAGGACGCGCGCAAUUUUAAAGAACUGUUGUUUGUAAAAAAAACUCAUAUAAAUCAAUUUCAAGUAUUUUUUUGGUAGUAACGUUCUACUAUAACUUAAUUUAGUGCCUAAAAAUCGAAAAAAUUACGGAAUUUAAAAUAUAUUUCUAUGCUGUAUUUUUUGCUUUUUUGUUUUGUUGGUUUGUUUUUGCUGGUUUGUUUUGAUUUUCGCCGAGUUUAAAACGUCAAAAUGGUAACUGUAAAUAGAAAGAGAAGACAAGGACAAAUGUUCGAACUUCCCUAUUAGUUAGGACAUUAUUUGACACCAACAAAUCAGUUCUCCAUUGAUUUGUUUAACAGGUAACGGGAAUUUUAACUUAUAACAAAAAAUGCAACAAUUUAAAUGUAUAUUUGCGAAUUUUUUCCAUUUUUUUAUGAAACUGAGCCUAAAAAUGUUAAAAAGUUUGAUACAUACCAAAAAAAAGCUAAACGUAUUACUUAACCUUACCAAAAUUGAAAAAGAAUGCUGGUCAAAAUACUUUUGCCACUCAAAAUAGCACUUCUAAUUCAAAAAAAGCUGCCUGAGAGCCAAAUUUCACUCAUAUGACUUACUUUAACCACCAUGAGAUUCACCAUUCCAUACUUAAUAAAUAACCAUCAACUCUACCUAUAUUAAGUUUAACGAUUAGAAAUUAUUCUGAUCAGAUCGAGAAUUGUCCAUCAGUCCAAAUAACACUGGUCAACAAGGUUUUUGCCACAACAACCAAAAUAUUCUAAACUGUCCCGAUUAGAAAUACUAAAAUAUGAAUAACUUUUGAAAGGAGCAGCUAGGAUUUCAAUUCUAACGGAUUUUGCACGUAUAAUCAUCAAAAAAUACAACCUAACUUGCAGUUUUUGUCGACAUUUUUGUGCCCUAUCGAUGCUAUCGAAAACAGCCAAAAUGACGUUUUUUGACAUUUUCUAACGGUAAUAUUUCAAAAACAGAGGCCAAUAACAAUUUUCAGCACAUCAAAAACUACUAGAAAAGUAUAUUUUGGUUGUUGUGGCAAAAACCUUGUUGACCAGUGUUAUUUGGACUGAUGGACAAUUCUCGAUUUGAUCAGAAUAAUUUCUAACGGUUAAACUUUAUAUAAACUUUAGGGGUUGGGGUCGAAAUUCUGUAUGUUGCAAAAUUCUGUAUUCAAAAUACUGUAUGCCAAAAUACUGUAUGUCAAAAUUCUGUAUGUGCAAAAUGCUGUAGGAACAAAAUUCUGAAAGUCAAAAUUCUGUAUAGCAAAAUUCUGGUUGGUCAAAAUACUGUAUUUCAAAAUUCUGUACAUCAAAAUUCUGUAUAUCAAAAUUCUGUAAAAAUGCUGUAAAAAAAUAUCGUUUUGAUAAUGUAAAA